UACGUAGGGUGCGAGCGUUAAUCGGAAUUACUGGGCGUAAAGCGUGCGCAGGCGGUGAUGUAAGACAGAUGUGAAAUCCCCGGGCUCAACCUGGGAACUGCAUUUGUGACUGCAUCGCUGGAGUGCGGCAGAGGGGGAUGGAAUUCCGGCAGUGUAGCAGUGAAAUGCGUAGAUAUGCGGAGGAACACCGAUGGCGAAGGCAAUCCCCUGGGCCUGCACUGACGCUCAUGCACGAAAGCGUGGGGAGCAAACAGG
rnacentral:rRNA from 1 species